UUCCCCAAAGAGAUGAGUAUGGUAACUUAGUGCACCAGACUGGUACUGGUCAUACUGGCACAGGCCAAACUGGUCCCGGCACUGGUCAUACUGGUACUGGCGGCUAUGGUGGUCAUACUGGGACUGGUGGCUAUGGUGCUGGCGAUGGUACUGGCACUGGUCAACAUACCGGGACCGGCCUUGGUACUGGCACUGGUCAACAUGCUGGGACUGGCCUUGGCACCGGUGCCGGUCAUCAUACUGGUACUGGUGUUGGGGGUGAGCAACAUGGAGGAGUACUUCGUCGCUCUGGAAGCUCGAGCUCUAGUAGCUCAGUAAGUUGCCUUGUUAUUUUUUUUCUUAAUUAAAAUUAUAAUCAAGCUCGAUCGAUCAAGUGAUUAAUUUGUGGUAAUUAUUUUGUUUUGCAGUCGGAAGAUGAUGGAAUGGGAGGAAGGAGGAAGAAGGGACUGAAGCAAAAGAUCAAGGAGAAAUUGCCAGGAGGACAAAAGGAGACUCAGCCCGGGUAUGGUGCUGGGACUACUGGUGCUGGGACUACUGGACCUGGGUAUGGCACCACCACUGGUGCUGGUGCUGGGUAUGGCACCACUGAGCAGCCACAUGAGAAGAAAGGAAUGAUUGAGAAGAUCAAGGAAAAAUUGCCUGGACACCAUGCUUAGGCCUUUGAAGUUGUGUACCAAACGAUUAUAUGAAUAGCACCAAACUAUUUUAGUGUUGAAUAGGUGCGCUUCAUGUGUUUGGUCACAGUUGUAAAAUAAAGUGUCACAUGCUCAUAUGCAAGUGUAUGUGUUUUUCGUUUGAUGUAUGUUUUGUGUGGAUGUUUUUGUCAAUGGAUAUAUUGUGGUGUAUGGGUUUUCUGCAGAAAGUGUGUUUAAUUUGGUGUUGAAUUAAGUCGGUUAAACAACUUACAUGGAACAACUGAAUUUACGAAUCCUUUGAAACAAAAGCCUUCAGAAAAUUAAAAUAAGGGAUUUCUAUCUAGCUACUGCCUACUGCAUCAAUUUUUUGAAUUGUGAUCAAAGAUGGUGAAAAUAUAUACCGAGUUUUCACCAUUCUUCUUGAAUGUAAAAAUCCAAAGAAAUUAAACCAUAGAUAUAAGC
rnacentral:lncRNA from 1 species